GGGGGCGAUUUGGAUUCGACGACGGAUACAAACCCUUAGGUGCAUGCCGUGAUGGCAGCCAAUCACGUAAAUCAAAAGCUGUAAACUUAUAGUUGCCAACGACGACAACUACGGUGCCCAACUGGCUGCGUAAGCAGUCACAAAAGCACUUCUAGUGGCUUCGGCCCUAGCGGUCUUUAGCAAGGUUCCAGCCCCGCGCUACUGACUGUCAUAUAGAACUGGAUCGCAGCAGGGUUUGUUCUGGGCCAUGCAGCUAAAUUUGAACAGAACUCGCCAAGUACGUCCUGCCCGUUGGGCUGUAUGCGGUUAAAUUAAUUAACGGAAUCUAAGCAUGUAGAGCCGAAGGCAGCGGUCUGGCGGACGCGGGUUCGAGACCCGCCGCCUCCACCA
rnacentral:tmRNA from 1 species